GCUCGGGUAGCUCAGUUUGGAUGAGAGCGACACACUCCUAAUGUGUAGGUCGGGGGUUCAAAUCCUCCCUCGAGCG
rnacentral:tRNA from 1 species